UAGACCUCGGAUCAGGUAGGGAUACCCGCUGAACUUAAGCAUAUCAAUAAGCGGAGGAAAAGAAACCAACAGGGAUUGCCUCAGUAACGGCGAGUGAAGCGGCAACAGCUCAAAUUUGAAAUCUGACCCCGGGGCCUGAGUUGUAAUUUGUAGAGGAUGCUCCGGGCGCGGCGCCGGUCUAAGUUCCUUGGAACAGGACGUCAUGGAGGGUGAGAAUCCCGUACGUGACCGGCGGCCAAGCCUGUGUGGAGCUCCUUCGACGAGUCGAGUUGUUUGGGAAUGCAGCUCUAAAUGGGUGGUAAAUUUCAUCUAAAGCUAAACAUGGGCCGGAGACCGAUAGCGCACAAGUAGAGUGAUCGAAAGAUGAAAAGCACUUUGGAAAGAGAGUUAAAAAGUACGUGAAAUUGUUGAAAGGGAAGCGCUGGCAACCAGACUUGCCGCCCGGUGAUCAACCGUUUUUCUGAACGGUGCACUCGCCGGGAUGCAGGCCAGCAUCGGUCUGGGUGGUUGGACAAACCCUUCGGGAACGUGGCUCCCUCGGGGAGUGUUAUAGCCCGUCGGACCAUGCAACCCUCCUGGACCGAGGACCGCGCUCCGGCUCGGAUGCUGGCGUAAUGGUGGCCAGCGGCCCGUCUUGAAACACGGACCAAGGAGUCUACUACCAAUGCGAGUGUUUGGGUGUCAAACCCACACGCGGAAUGAAAGUGAACGGAGGUGGGAACCCCUUGGGGCGCACCAUCGACCGAUCCAGAUGUCUUCGGAUGGAUUUGAGUAAGAGCAUUGUUAGUGGGACCCGAAAGAUGGUGAACUAUACUUGAAUAGGGUGAAGCCAGAGGAAACUCUGGUGGAGGCUCGCAGCGGUUCUGACGUGCAAAUCGAUCGUCAAAUUUGAGUAUAGGGGCGAAAGA
rnacentral:rRNA from 1 species